AUGUCACUAAGGGCCUUUUCUUCUUAUUUGUGUGACAGUUAUAUAGAUGGUCCCCCUGAGUGUAUGGAAACAAAAUCAAUGGCAAACUUCAAUCCACACAAUCACUUCUUAUGUGAGACACAGCGUUGGCUAUUACCUCACAGAACUGAUCCAAAGCUCAUUGAAUUACAAAGAAAAAAUCCCAUCCAUGUCACUGGAGUUUGCAUCAAACCUGAACUGUCAACAGACGACUACUAAGUUACAGUGUCAUACUUGGAAGUAUUCCCUCUGAAGCUCAAGUUUCUACUGUGCCUCUUGGAAGGAGGAAAAUGGAAGAGUUCACUGUGUUUCAUAUCUGGAUGGUUCACUGACCUACAUUUAUUUUAUCUACUUCCCAUUUAACAUGUUAUGUGACUUUUUUGGUGUGCCCCAGCAAAGAUUUUCAAUGGUCCAAAAAACCAUGCUGGGAAAGAACGCUAAUACUAUGCUGCCCUUGAUAGGAUAGUGACUGGCAGUAUAUAAAUACACUCAGUGGAAUGACAGAAAACUCUCUUCUAUAUUUAUGAGGAGCCCUGGGCCAACGCACACAGUGGUGGGAGCCCAUCUGCU
rnacentral:lncRNA from 1 species